ACACGUUAUAAAGUAUGUUUUAUCUAUACGUUACACACUGACUAAUUUAUUGAUCGUAAAUUGUGAUUUUUUUCGUCAGUGUUGCUCACCGCUCCCCUAAAUCUGAUGAACAUGAAGAGCCCGGCGCCAAAUCUGAAGCACGUUGAUACACACACACACACACACACAGGUGUAAGGAUAAGCUUUAGAAACCAACCGUGUGGAAAAGUCAUGAACACUCCAACUUUAGCUUGAACUCACAGAGGUAGAACAUGAUAUAACGGCAAGAUCUUCAAGGACUUAGAAGGCUGAAGAUGUGGCUGAACUCGGAGCAGACGGCUCUCGCAGGCCUGAUGUUCCAAAGCUAUGUGACGGAGCAUCACAGGAACGACAUCCUUCAGAUCCUGCAGGAAGCCGAUGAAGAUGCGCACUAUUCGCUCGUGGUCAACGCUAUGACCUUAUUCGAGGCCAACAUGGAGGUGGGCGAGUAUUUCAACGCCUGCCCCAGCCAGGUUCUGCACGUGUUCGACGAGGCUCUUCACGCCGCCGCGCUCGCCGUCUCUCGGGCCGAGCCGCCGCAGGGCUGCGUAAAGCUGAAGCGCAACCUGCAUGUCCGUGUUUCAGGUUUGCCCGUGUGUCCCGAGAUGACCCGAGAGCACAUCCCUAAAGCCCGGGACGUGGGCCACUUCCUGUCCGUCACCGGCACGGUCAUCCGCACCAGUGUGACCAAAGUGCUGGAAUACCAGCGGGAUUACAUGUGCAACAAGUGCAGACACGUGUUCUCCGUGCUGGCCGACUUCGAGCAGUACUACACCUUCACUCCGCCCAGCCGCUGCCCCAACGAGGACGAGUGCAACUCCUUCAAAUUCACCUGCCUGGCCGAACGAGACGCCCCGCCAUCAUCCUGCAGAGACUACCAGGAGAUCAAGAUCCAAGAGCAGGUACAGAGACUCUCUGUGGGCAGCAUCCCUCGCUCCAUGCUGGUCAUUUUAGAGGAUGAUCUGGUAGACAGCUGCAAAUCAGGAGAUGAUAUUACAGUGUAUGGGGUGGUAUGGCAGCGCUGGAAGCCACUGUACCAGGACUGUCGCUGUGAUGUGGAGAUCGUACUGAAGGCAAACCACAUCGAAAUCAACAACGAUCAAUCUACAGCAGCUGUGGUGCUAGAGGACUUCCAGAAAGAAUUUGAGGAAUUCUGGGAAAUACACAAGCACAACCCUAUAGCUGGCAGGAAUCAGAUCCUGAUGAGUCUGUGCCCUCAGGUGUUUGGGAUGUAUGUGGUGAAGUUAGCUGUAGCCUUGGUUUUGGCAGGUGGAGUGCAGCGAGUCGAUGCCUCGGGAACGAAGGUGAGAGGUGAGUCUCACCUCUUGCUAGUGGGCGACCCGGGCACUGGGAAAUCUCAGUUUCUGAAGUACGCAGCAAAAAUCACGCCGCGCUCAGUCCUCACUGCUGGCAUCGGCUCCACUAACGCAGGUCUGACAGUAGCAGCAGUGAAGGACUCAGGAGAGUGGCACCUGGAGGCAGGAGCACUGGUUCUCUCUGAUGGAGGCCUCUGCUGCAUAGACGAGUUUAACAGCAUUAAGGAACACGACCGCACCAGCAUCCACGAGGCCAUGGAGCAGCAGACCAUCAGUGUGGCUAAAGCUGGAAUGGUGUGUAAACUGGACACAAGGACAACGAUUCUUGCAGCCACCAACCCAAAGGGCCAGUACGACCCCAACGUGUCCGUGUCUGUGAACGUAGCUCUGGCCAGUCCUCUCCUCAGCCGCUUCGACCUGGUCCUCGUCCUGCUGGACACCAAGAACCCAGAGUGGGACAAGAUCAUCUCCUCAUUUAUCCUCCAGAAUAAAGGUGCCCCGAGUCAGUCUUCCUCCUUAUGGAGCAUGGAGAAGAUGAGAGCGUACUUCUGCGUGGUAAAGAGGCUGCAGCCGCGCAUCACUCAGGACGCCAACUCCAUCCUGACCCGCUACUACCAGCUGCAGAGACAGAGCGACAGCCGCAACGCUGCACGCACCACCAUCCGCAUGCUGGAGAGUCUCGGCCGUCUCGCUGAGGCCCAUGCCAAGCUGAUGUUCAGAGAGACCGUGACGGUGGAGGAUGCUGUAGUGGUGGUGUCGGUUAUGGAGUGUUCCAUGCAGGGUGGCGCACUGCUCGGUAACGUCAACGCUCUGCACACGUCCUUCCCCGAAGACCCCAGAGAGCAGUACAGAAGCCAGUGUGAGAUCGUACUGGAGGGUCUGGGCCUGACUCACAUCCUCGACACGGAGCUGCAGAGGCUCUCAGGGAGGCAGGACCGCUCUCACGAGUCGUCUGGAGGUAAUCAGCCGAGUGACGUGCGCAGAGAGAACGUGAUCAGUGAGGACACGUCCGCCUCUGACCCAGGCCUCGACUGGUUUCACAGCUUAACCGGUCCAGCUGAGGGGAAAGCAGCAUUCCCAGUAUCUCCCAUUCAUUCCUCUACACAACAUCACACAGCCAACACAUCAUGCCCUAGUGUGUUGCCUAGCAACAGUGGCUCCGCUCAUGGCGAGGGCUCAGCGUGGGAGAAGCAGGAGGACAGCAGCUCAGUGGUGCAAAAGAUCUCCAAGAAGCUCAGGAACAAACGAUUGAAAGAGAACGCAGUGGAUGAACGAAUAAACACAGAGCGGCAGUCGUCUCCACACACGCGUCCGUGCCACAGCACGCCGAUGACGGACAGGAAACGGCCUUCUAAAAGGAAAGCUACGUGUUUUAGUCCACCAGUGAUGGAACGGACGGAGAGCGAGAAUCUCCAGGUCGACCUGUCGAGCUUUGCCUUCAGAUCCAGAGAGAGAAUGACGCACACGGACAAGGCUACUGGUUCAAAUCUGGCACCUAAAAGGGAUGAAAGCGAUCAUAAAAUCGUUGGUACAGAGCGAAUUUCACAAACAAAACGAAAAGAGAAAGCGCAAAACCGGUGUUCUGAGCAGCCAGCAGAGGGCAGCAGUGCGUGUAAGAAGCUUCGAAAGCGAGUCCAGUCUGAAGUCAGAGAGAUUCCCUCAGAAAACAGAACAGCUGACGUCGCAGAGCACAAACGCCAGCAACUCGUCCAAAGCCUGAGCAGUGUCACUCCAAACGAGCCCACUUCCUCCGUUCAGCCACCCCAACCAAAAACUAAAGUCGCUUCCUCAACCCUGGCCAAGCUUUCCGCGUUCUCUUUUGUUCCCUCUCCUGAGGAAAAGACCAGCCAGAAUCUUACCACAGCUCCAACACAGACGAACAACACACCGGUUUCCAAGGACGGCGUAAUGGAAAAAGAUGCCAGUGCAGCAGAAAGCACACCCACAAGCACUGCGACUGUGGAGCAGAAAAACUCCACGAAUUCAACUUCAGAGACUCAUCAGGAGACGAGCAGGCCAUACACAAAGACAAAGAUGUGUGAGGAAGACUCCUCCAGGAAGAGGAAGUGCUUUGACUUGAGCUCAGCACGACCCGGAGGUCUUUUCUCUGCUCUUUCUCUCUUCAGCUCCUCUAUUGUAGAUGAUGACGCUCUCGAUGUGGACUGGGAGGAGGAGUCCAGAAAGAAAGCCAGUGUAUAGUUUCAUAAACAAGAUAUCUGUAGAUAAAGUUGCAUUAAAGGAAUACUCCAGCAAUACCCUGUUCCGUACAUCUGUAGGUUAGGUGUAAUCACCACGAGCAACAAAAACAUUUACUCCAAAUGUAAUUAUAAUUCAUGUCAUUCAGUAUUCCUAAAUAUGUGCUACACACAUACACCGAUCAGGCAUAACAUUAUGACCACCUGCCUAAUAUUGUGUUGGAAAACAGCCCUGACCCAUCAACGCAUGGACUCCAUUAGAUCCCUGAAGGUGUGGCACCAAGCAGCAGAUCCUAUGGAGGCCCUACCUCACAACUUACAGGACUUAAAGUGUACUUACAGAAUUAAAAGGAUACUCUUGAUAGAUUCUGACCACUGCAGACCGGGAACACCCCACAAGAGCUGCAGUGUUGGAGAUGUUCUGAUCCAGUGGUCUAGCCAUCACAAUUUGGCUCUUAUGUUCAAACUCGCUCAAAUCCUUACGCUUGUCCAUUUUUCCUGCUUCUCACACAUCAACUUUGAGGACAAAACGUUCGCUUGCUGCCUCUAAUAUAUCCCACCCACUAACAGGUGCCAUGAUGAGGACAUCAUCAGUCUUAUUCACUUCACCUCUGUGUUCAUAAUGUUAUGCCUGAUCUGUGUAAUGCACCAACUAAUUGUUUAUUACCCCGACAGCUGCCCUUAGCCUCCCUUUCAUUAUAUGCCGUAAACAUACUUUUGUUCUUUUCACAAUACAGGAAUCUUGUCCACAUACACUACAGAUGACGUAAUGGAAAUGCUGGAGUUUUUCUUUAUCGUAAUAAAUGUAGAGAUAUAUAUCUUGUUUUAUGAUGGAUGAUGUGAACUGAAAAGCUGCUCGGGGAAAAAAAAAUCCUCCUGCUGUUCUAAAACACUGCCAAGUUCUGAAUCAACAGUAAAAAAUGCACUCCUUACUCAUUUCUGCUCUUUUAUCAGCAAGUACGACGUUCCUUUAAGCUCCCCUGUGCUUGAUGAGAUGAUCUAGAGGGCUAUGCUUUUCCAUCACACUUCUCUUAUUUCUGCAUUUUUCGCAACGACUUCCCUUCAGCAGUGAGGGAUAAUUGCUGACGGAACUGCGGAGGCUUCAUUAUGUCGCGUUUCGCCGGCGUCAAACUUCUGCAGCUUCGCUACGGCGAGUACUUUACACAACACCUGGGCUUCCUUCCUUCAGAUAUCAUGUUGUGAAAGGAUUCAAUUUAACAAACUGCAGAGAGCCAUCAGAAGACGAGCAGGACAAAGAUGUGUGAGGAAGACUCCGAGAGCUCCAGGAAGAGGAAGUGCUUUGACUUGAGCUCAGCACGACCCCGGAGGUCUUUUCUCUGCUCUUCCCUAAUUCAGCUCCUCUAUUGUAGAUGAUGAAGCUCUCGAUGUGGACUGGGAGGAGGAGUCCAGAAAGAAAGCCAGUGUCAGAAAUCUGCUUCUGGAAAGGCUCUGGGAGCUGUCUGAGUUCCAGGAAAAUUCGUUUUUUGAAGAAUGAAGGAGGAUAAUGUAUUGAAAUGAAUCAGGCUGGUUCUAGACUAGCAUGUUUUACAAGCUGUAGCUCGUUUUAUUGGAGCCUCAGGAUUAUUGCAACACUACAGCAAUUCUUUUUUUUAAAAAGUGCUAAAGAAUGAACUGAGACACCGUGAGAUUCUCGAUCCAGGCCUUAGAGCUGUAAAGUUUAAUAGAUGAUGUGGCUGCUUUAGCUUUGCUAAAUCUAGCUUGCUAGGUCACAAGAAUAAACUUGCUUCAUCCGAGUUAUUGCUGGAUAAUAACGUGGCAUUUUAAAUUCUCUGAUCAGCAAUAAUUUCUUUAGAGACUUGCUAGCUGAUCGUACAAGAUUUCUGCUGAAGAUGCUGAUACUAAAUCUGUGUCCAGUUUCAUCACGCCCUUGUGUGUAUAUAUGUGUGUGUGUGUGUGUAUAUAUAUAUAUAUAUAUAUAUAGGCACACAAUCUGUCUGUUAGGGACAUAUGUUUUAAUUUUAUAAAACUUUUCCAUCUUUACAAGCCUUUGGCGAUCAGGAAUCAGUUCAGUGCCAAUGGAUUGUGUCAUGCUAAUGAAAGCUUGAAUGCUAGUGCAUUGUGACUUGACAAGAAAGUCUUAAAUACUUUUCACUGGCUGAAAUAACACACAUGGCUAUCUAUAACCUUUAGAAAAUGAUCACAUAGCUUCCAAGUAAAAGCUGUGAUCAGUAAAAUGUAAUUGAGCUCGCUUGGUAUUGAAUAAAUGAACUAGCAUUAAAAAUCAGGGGCUGUUAUGGGUCACAAUAACAAUGGGUCGCUGUAGCUGGGAUGGCUAAACAAUUAACUAGCUACUUUGCUAGUUCUAUAACUCGAUAUAAUGAAGUGUUUCAUGGAUACAGCGUAGCUGGCUCAAAGGCAAAAAAUAAUUUCAGCUAUAAAUCCUGUCAUAAGGGACUGCUUUAUUCACCACCCAGGAUUGUGAGGAUGUUUUACAAGUUUAAUUCUAAAAAAAAUCUCAGACAUUAGGGUUAGCUGUUUGUCCUCCUAGACGCUCCAUUUUGUCAGCAGGUUGUUGUGGCAGGUUUAACAGCACAAUGUGACUCAUGUCAAGCACACAUGGGAAGUAGAAAUGGCUUGUUGCUUUCUGUUUUCAACUUUAUUAAGCUUCAUUAUAUUCUCAAAGUCUGGGGUUCGGGUCCGUGAAUGCUUGGCAGAUACGGUAAGCGUUUAUUCUGUACUUAAUAUCGAGAGGAUCGUCAGUGCUGGAGUAUGAUUAAUGCUAAAUUUCAUAUCAGAUAUGUUACAGAAGUCAGCGGUUAAACCUGAUUUAUGAGGUGUUUGGCUUUUUAAAGAACCCCAGGGGAUUAAGUGUGUGUGCUGCUCUGGUGGCUACAGCAGUGUGUCAUGAACUCAGUUAUUAGCCUUGUUUUUUCAGCUUGUUUUUGCAGCUCUCGGGGUUGCCAGAUUGGAUCAGUUGUUUUUAAAAUCGUUUCUUUAAAACUUAAAUAAUUUUUAUAGAACUGAUUUCAAAAACAGCUGGUCCAAUCGAAACCAAAUCUAAUUUAUCCGUAUAUAUUAUUAUUAUUAUCAUUAUUAUUACUAUUAUUAUUGUUAGGAUCCAGGGUGUAUUCCUACCUCAUGUCCAGUCCCAGCCCCAGCUCUGGAUCUACUGUGACCCUGACCAACAAAAAGUAGUUCCUGGUUGAUGAAUAAGUGUUUAUUGUAAAUUAUGUAAACUAGUUUUUAACUUUAAAAACAGACUUUAUGUCCAUAUAGGAGGCCAUUUUCCUCAAUAUUACAUUCAUCUCAUAUGUAAAUAACUCAGAUUUCUAGCUUCCACCUGGGAAAACUGUUCAGCACGUCUAAGUAGAAACUUUUUUGACAGUGAUGGUUAAAUUUAGCCAAAUCCAGGAGUAACUGGCUACAGGAGCUGGGCAAGUGUCCAAAGAAAUAAAAGUUUUUUUAUUCUAUAUUUUAGUUGAUAAAUUGAGUUCUAUUAAUCAUUAUACAAGGAAUACUACAACUAUAAUAAAUUCAGCAUAACAGAAAGAUUUCUUAAUGAUCCCAUACGAUCGAAUGCAACCGAUUGACCUGAGAUCUGGCAACCGUGUCUGCUUUGGGCAACCAGCAGAGCGACAGCAUUGUUUCUGAAGUUUUACAUGGCUGAGUUCUGCCUUAUAUAACCAGCUUGGUGUUUAGAGGCUUAGAGGAACAUACAUUUUGGCCCUCAGUUCUUCACUUCACUAAAUAACACAUGCAGUCACUGUCAGGGUGUUCCUGUUAGAGCUAAACUGCUAAGUAAGAAACACUGUGUGUGUGUGUGUGUGUGUGUCAGCCUGUUGUGCAGUUUGUGGCACGCUUCAAAGAAGUCAAGUUAACACAGAAAUGAUUUGAAAUGUCUCUAAUUCUCAACCUUUCUGCCUCUAACUGCUGAUAAAAAUGAGGUAAGACACCGGUUCCACACUAUUUUACAGAUAAAUACUUUAAUUUCAGAAUUUUAAAGUCUUAGCCAUCAGUCAAGUCAGUUGCUGAAAGUAAUUUUGCCUGAUUGAUUCAUGUCUGUGUUUUUUCCCCUUCACAUAAUCCUCUAAAUGGUCAAAAGUAUGUUCUCAUUAAAUUCCAGAUAUAUUCCCAUUCUCCUGUUAUAAUAACCUCUGCUCUUCUGGGAGGGCUUUCCACCAGAUGUUCACUAGAUGAUUCCAGAGCAUUAGAGAGAUCAGACACUACGGUCAGGUGAGGAGGUCCCGGGUUCUGUGUUUCAGUUUAUCCUAAAGGUGUUCAGUGCUCAGGGUUUAGUCAGAGUCAGGGCUUAGUACGGGACACUACAACUCCAACCUUAACCUCCACAUCAUGUCUUCCUGGAGCUCAGUGCUUUGUGCACAUGGGCAUUAUCAUGCUGGAUCAGGUUCAUGCUACUACUGUACAGUACUACUUUGAUGCGCUAUUUAAUAUGUUAGCAUGUGAUUUGGGACACGUCCUGUUUCCUGAGGAUGUAUUGUAAUCAUUAGUAUUACUUUAACAUACUAUUUAAUAAGUUAGUAUGUGAUUUGAGACACAUCCUAUUUCCUGAGAAUGUAUAUAAAAAUACAAAGACUUCAAACAAUGAAAAUGUAAAACUUAAGAAUUCCUUGUCCAGUCAAGUUAAACCUCGGGCUUUGAAACUGAUUCAUAUUACAAACACAUGAAUAAAUCUAAACAGUAUAGUAAUAGUUAAAUCCUCAUGUUGUCACCUAUAACAGAAGCAGGGCUUUUCCCACCUCCUAAUUCCUGAUUUAGUGUCAGAAUCUAAAGAAAUCAAUUAUUUAUUCAGCAAUACAACUCCUGCAUUAUUAUAAAGUAAUCAAAAAAGAGUUGCUUUAGUUUUAGAGCUGUAGUGAAGCUGUAGUGAAGCCUAUGAAGGUGUAGUGAAGCCUAUGAAGCUGUGGUGAAGCUGUAGUGAAGCCUAUGAAGCUGUAAUGAAGCCUGUGAAGCUGUAGUGAUGCUGUAGUGAAGCCUAUGAAGCUGUGGUGAAGCCUAUGAAGCUGUAGUGAAGCCUAUGAAGCUGUAGUGAAGCCUAUGAAGCUGUAGUGAAGCUUUAGUGAAGCCUAUGAAGCUGUAGUGAUGCUGUAGUGAAGCCUAUGAAGCUGUAGUGAUGCUGUAGUGAAGCCUAUGAAGCUGUAGUGAAGCCUAUGAAGCUGUAGUGAAGCCUAUGAAGCUGUAGUGAAGCCUGUGAAGCUGUAGUGAAGCUGUGGUGAAGCCUAUGAAGCUGUAGUGAAGCUGUGGCGAAGCCUAUGAAGCUGUAGUGAAGCCUGUGAAGCCUAUGAAGCUGUGGUGAAGCUGUAGUGAAGCCUAUGAAGCAGUAGUGAAGCUGUAGUGAAGCCUAUGAAGCUGUGGUGAAGCCUGUGAAGCUGUAGUGAAGCCUAUGAAGCUGUAGUGAAGCUUUAGUGAAGCCUAUGAAGCUGUAGUGAAGCCUAUGAAGCUGUAGUGAAGCCUAUGAAGCUGUAGUGAAGCUUUAGUGAAGCCUAUGAAGCUGUAGUGAUGCUGUAGUGAAGCCUGUGAAGCUGUGGUGAAGCCUAUGAAGCUGUAGUGAAGCCUAUGAAGCUGUAGUGAAGCCUAUGAAGCUGUGGUGAAGCCUGUGAAGCUUUAGUGAAGCCUAUGAAGCUGUAGUGAUGCUGUAGUGAAGCCUAUGAAGCUGUAGUGAUGCUGUAGUGAAGCCUAUGAAGCUGUAGUGAAGCCUAUGAAGCUGUAGUGAUGCUGUAGUGAAGCCUAUGAAGCUGUAGUGAAGCCUAUGAAGCUGUAGUGAAGCUUUAGUGAAGCCUAUGAA